rnacentral:rRNA from 1 species
UACGUAGGGUGCGAGCGUUAAUCGGAAUUACUGGGCGUAAAGCGUGCGCAGGCGGCGCGUUAAGACAGGUGUGAAAGCCCCGAGCUUAACUUGGGAAUUGCGCUUGUGACUGGCGUGCUGGAGUGUGGCAGAGGGAGGUGGAAUUCCACGUGUAGCAGUGAAAUGCGUAGAGAUGUGGAGGAACACCGAUGGCGAAGGCAGCCUCCUGGGCCAGCACUGACGCUCAUGCACGAAAGCGUGGGGGAGCAAACAGGG